GACGCCCAUAGGACCCCAAUGUGUGAUCCCGAUGUGACCCCAAUGGGACCCCAAUGGGAUCCCAAAGUGACCCCCAAUGGGACCCCAAUUGACCCCAAUAGGACCCCAAUGUGUGACCCCCAAUGUGACCCCAAAGUGUGAGCUGAAGUGACCCCAAUGUGACCCAAAACUGACCCCAAACUGACCUCAGACUGUGACCCCGAUGGGACCCCAAAGUGUGAGCUGAAGUGACCCCAAUUUGACCCCAAUAGGACCCCAAUGUGUGAUCCCGAUGUGACCCCAAUGGGACCCCAAUGUGACCCCAAUGUGACCCCACUGUGACCCCCAAGAGGACCUCAAUGGGACCCCAAAAUGACCUCAAUGUGACCCCAAAGUGUGACCCCCAAUGUGACCCCAAAGUGUGAGCUGAAGUGACCCCAAUGUGACCCCAAACUGACCCCAAACUGACCUCAGACUGUGACCCCGAUGGGACCCCAAAGUGUGAGCUGAAGUGACCCCAAUGUGACCCCAAUGCGUGACCCUAACUGACCCCCUGACCCCAAAUGUCCCCAUGUGAUCCCAAAUGACCGUAAUGUGACCCCGAAUGUGACCUCAAAGUGUGACCCCAAAUGACCCCGAGUGACCUGAAAUGACCCCAAUGCGUGACCCCAACUGACCCCGAGUGACCUGAAAUGACCCCAAAGUGUGACCCCAGUAUGACCCCGGUGACCCGAAAUGAAC
ensembl:lncRNA